rnacentral:lncRNA from 1 species
AGAAGGCGCCGGGGCAAGCGGCCUGUUGGCGCCCAGUUUCAGCUGGCUGUUCCCGCUAGCAUCAGGGCUCGAUCGUAGAGGACGCGGCAGCCGCAGCUCGCGGAGAACAGCGGGCAGAGCUGUGGGCUGCACGCGCCCCUGCAGCCACCGGGCGUCCCGCAGAGGCUCCCGCGCCCUGCGGCGACUUCCGCCCCCGCGCUCCCCUUUGUCCGAGUCCCCAAGCGGCGGCGGCGGGGUAGGAGCCCACGCCGUGGGCGACUGAGGCGGCGGCAGUCCGCGUCCCGGCGCCCUGGAGAUGCCGGACCAGAUCUCCGUGUCGGAAUUCGUGGCCGAGACCCUUGAGGACUACAAGGCGCCCACGGCCUCUAGCUUCACCACGGGCACGGCCCAGUGCCGGAACACCAUGGCGGCCAUCGAGGAGGUUUAGUCUCCACUGCCAGCUGCCAUGGGCAAGCAGAACAGCAAACUGGGUCCUGAGGUGCUGCAGGACCUGCGGAAAACAGGGAGUUCACCCACCAUGAGCUUCAGGAGUGGUACAAGGGCUUCCUCAAUGACUGUCCCACUGGCCACCUGACUGUGGACAAUUUCAAGAUCUAGGCCAACUUCUUCCCCUACAGAGAUUCCUCCAAGUUUGCUGAACAUGUCUUCCACACCUUUGACACCAACAGCGACAGCACCAUCGACUUUCAAGAGUUCAUCAUUGCUCUGAUCAUGACCUCUCGGGGCAAGCUGGAACAGAAGCUCAAGUGGGCCUUCAGAAUGUCUGAACUAGACAGCAAUAGCUACUUCAGCUGCAGUGAAAUGCUGGAGAUAGUGCAGGCAAAAUGUCCCUGGAAGAAUUCAACAAAGGUGCCAAGAGUGACCCAUCCAUUGUCUGGUUGCUGCAGUGUGAUCCCAGCAGUGCUAGCCAGUUCUCAGGGGAAUGGGCUUUUACACAGUUGUGAGAAGCACAGUCUUGACCUGCCAUCUUCAGCUUUGCUUGCAAAAGUGGAUUUCUCCGUGAUUUCUCCUGCUCUCUCGGGACCUGGGUCCAGACAGCACAUCACACUCACCUGGUCUAGCUGGAUUCAGCUCCCUCCUCUAUCUGACCCAAUAGAUGUCCGUCCCCAUCCAGUCCAGGCUGGUUCCUUCCAAGGUUUCAAGUGUUCUCAGCUGUAGGGCUCCUUCCCUCCCCACGGAGGGCCUGGAGGCCCUUAAGGACACCAGACAGGACUUUUCAGUAUCUUACCGAGACCAGCUGAUUUAUUCUAUGAUCCCAGCUGACUUUGUGAGCAUGAAGAAGAUGGAGAGUAGAUAGGCAAGCCCUUCCUGUUCAUGGCUCCACCUCCCUUGUUCAUUUUCUCCAACCACAGCUGCUUGCAUGUAUAUACCGUGGUAUCCUUACUUUUAAUAUAUAAGUUUUGUAUAAAGUGAGAAGUUUCAGCCCCUGUAUUUAAAGCCUCUGACUGCCUUUAAAGCAUGGUCCCCUGUGGCUUGUGAUUCUCCCCACCCCCAAAUCUAGCUGUGCUGUGGUAUUUAAGUAUUCAUUUGCCUAAUUAUACAGGAUAUACAUGCAUGCCCAAGGCUGUGGACAUCUGCCCUCCGUCCUGCAAAUACAGGUUUUCUUGGGUGCUCCAUCCUUCCUUUCCAUUGACCUGGAAUAUUAAAAUGGUCAAAUAAACCAA